AUAAUGGAGAGUUUGAUCCUGGCUCAGAACGAACGCUGGCGGCGGGUCUUAAACAUGCAAGUCGAACGGUGAAAAUGAGGCUUCGGCCGAAACACGAGUGGCGAACGGGUGAGUAACACGUAGAAACCUUCCCCAAAGCGGGGGAUAACCCUGGGAAACUAGGGCUAAUACCCCAUAGCCCCUGCUGCUUACGCAGUAGGGUAAAGGAUGGCAACAUUCACUUUGGGAUGGGUCUGCGUUCUAUCAGCUUGUUGGUAGGGUAAUGGCCUACCAAGGCGACGACGGAUAGCCGGCCUGAGAGGGUGAUCGGCCACACUGGCACUGAGACACGGGCCAGACUCCUACGGGAGGCAGCAGUUAAGAAUCUUGGACAAUGGGCGCAAGCCUGAUCCAGCCACGCCGCGUGAGGGAUGAAGGCUCUCGGGUUGUAAACCUCGCUAAAGUGGGAAGAAUAAGUGUAUUCCUCAAGGGUACAUGAUGACGGUACCACUCUAUAGCCCCGGCUAAUUACGUGCCAGCAGCCGCGGUAAUACGUAUGGGGCAAGCGUUGUUCGGAUUUAUUGGGCGUAAAGGGCACGCAGGCGGACUAUUAAGUUGGGUGUAUAACCUUCAGGCUCAACCUGAAGUUUGCAUUCAAAACUAGUAGUCUUGAGUCCCAGAGGGGAGAGCGGAAUUCUCGGUGUAGCGGUGGAAUGCGUAGAUAUCGAGAAGAACACCAGUGGCGAAGGCGGCUCUCUGGCUGGGUACUGACGCUCAUGUGCGAAAGCGUGGGGAGCGAACAGGAUUAGAUACCCUGGUAGUCCACGCCGUAAACGUUGUGCACUAGGUGUCGGAGGUUUCAACGCCUUCGGUGCCGUAGUUAACGCAUUAAGUGCACCGCCUGGGGAGUAUGCCCGCAAGGGUGAAACUCAAAGGAAUUGACGGGGGCCCGCACAAGCGGUGGAGCAUGUGGUUUAAUUCGACGAUACACGAAGAACCUUACCCGGGUUUGACAUCCAUCAGACAGGCGUAGAGAUACACCCUCCUUUAAGGCUGAUGGACAGGUGUUGCAUGGUUGUCGUCAGCUCGUGUUGUGAGAUGUUGGGUUAAGUCCCGCAACGAGCGCAACCCUUACUCUGUGUUGCCAUCAGGUUAAGCUGGGCACUCUCAGAGAACCGCCGAUAAAAAGUCGGAGGAAGGUGGGGAUGACGUCAAAUCAGCAUGGCCCUUAUGUCCGGGGCUACACACGUGCUACAAUGGCCGUAACAAAUGGUAGCUAAGCCGCAAGGUAGAGCAAAUCCCAGAAAAACGGUCUCAGUUCGGAUUGCAGUCUGCAACUCGACUGCAUGAAGCUGGAAUCGCUAGUAAUCGUGAAUCAGCUAUGUCACGGUGAAUACGUUCCCGGGCCUUGUACACACCGCCCGUCACACCACCCGAGUGGGCGGCACUCGAAGUGACUGCGCUAACCCGCAAGGGGGGCAGGUCAUCAAGGUGAAGUUUGCGAGGGGGGUGAAGUCGUAACAAGGUAGCCGUACCGGAAGGUGCGGCUGGAUCACCUCCUUU
rnacentral:rRNA from 1 species